AUUGAACGCUGGCGGCAUGCCUAACACAUGCAAGUCGAACGGGGCAGCAAUGCCUAGUGGCGGACGGGUGAGGAAUACGUAGGAAUCUGCCCUUAAGUGGGGGAUAACCAGGGGAAACCCUGACUAAUACCGCAUGAUCUCUUCGGAGCAAAGAGGGGGACCGCAAGGCCUCUCGCUUCUGGAUGAGCCUACGUCUGAUUAGCUAGUUGGUAGGGUAAAGGCCUACCAAGGCGACGAUCAGUAACUGGUCUGAGAGGAUGAUCAGUCACACCGGAACUGAGACACGGUCCGGACUCCUACGGGAGGCAGCAGUGGGGAAUAUUGGACAAUGGGCGCAAGCCUGAUCCAGCAAUGCCGCGUGUGUGAAGAAGGCCUUCGGGUUGUAAAGCACUUUAGCCUGGAAAGAAAAAACUUUGGUUAACACCCAAAGUCUUGACGGUACCAGGAGAAUAAGCACCGGCUAACUACGUGCCAGCCGCCGCCAUAACAC
rnacentral:rRNA from 1 species